AUACAACUAUGUACCAGGGGGCUUUGGGGAGAAAAUGGAAAAAUAAAAUCUUAAAAAAAAAAAAAAGUAUUGGAAUUUUGAUUGAGGUUGCAUUGAAUCUCAAGGUUACUUUUGGGAAAUUUGACAUCUUUACAAAACUCAAUAUUCUGGUUCAUGAAUGGAUUAUACACCUAUAUAUAUUUAGGUCUUUUAUUUCUCUCAUCUACGUUUAAUAACUUCCCCGAAUAAGUUUUUUUGUCUUUUUUUGCAGGGAAAGUUUUGCCCUGACUAACGCCUGUUGCCAAUCUACCUCUUUUUUUCCCCUGCCCCAAAGCCCCAGUGCAUGUUUGUACGUCCUAGGUGUAAGUCGUUCUGGUUCUUCUAUGUGAGCCCCUGCCACACUAUGGCUACUGACACAUGAGUGGUGUGGUUCUGCGACAACGAAAUGAACCUGUGCUGCCAAAGUGAGCCAAAAAUGCUGCUGUUGGAACUGAAUGAAGUGGCUGGCAGGCACCGCUCCCAUCUGAGAGUUUGAAACAUCCUCCUGUUAGCAGAGUACACGUGUCUGAAUUCCACAUAUGAAAGGCUGAAUGGAUGAGUAUGUCAGCUGCAAGAAAGCCACACAAAGCUGAUGAUAGCAUCUAGCUCUGGAUGGCUCCUGCUGCCUAACUCCCUGGAUGCUUGCACUGCCAGCACAUGUGAAGAUCCUUUAACCAAAGCUCAUAGACAGGAGGAUGAAAUCCAGUCUCUGUUACUCAAUCUUCGCCAGAAGCAGAAGUCAGAACUUAAAUUUUGAAGUCACCUAGAUUUGGGUUAAAUUGCUGACUUUGUUCCUUAAGACUCGUGUGACCUCAGUCAAAUUAUAUAAACUGCCUGAGCUUCA